rnacentral:rRNA from 1 species
AAGUCUGACGGAGCGACGCCGCGUGGAUGAAGAAGGCUGAAAGUUGUAAAAUCCUCUUGUUGAUGAAGAAUAAGGGGAAGAGGGAAUGCUUCUCUGAUGACGGUAGUCGGUGAAUAAGCCCCGGCUAAUUACGUGCCAGCAGCCGCGGUAACACGUAAGGGGCGAGCGUUGUUCGGAAUUAUUGGGCGUAAAGGGCAUGUAGGCGGUUAUGUAAGCCUGAUGUGAAAUCCUGGGGCUUAACCCCAGAAUAGCAUUGGGUACUGUGUAACUUGAAUUACGGAAGGGAAACUGGAAUUCCAAGUGUAGGGGUGGAAUCUGUAGAUAUUUGGAAGAACACCGGUGGCGAAGGCGGGUUUCUGGCCGAUAAUUGACGCUGAGAUGCGAAAGUGUGGGGAUCUAACAGGAUUAGAUACCCUGGUAGUCCACACCGUAAACGAUGUACACUAGGUGUGGGGCAAGAGCUUCAGUGCCAAAGCAACGCGAUAAGUGUACCGCCUGGGGAGUAUGCCGCA